rnacentral:rRNA from 1 species
GUAGGGUGCAAGCGUUAAUCGGAAUUACUGGGCGUAAAGCGUGCGCAGGCGGUUGUGCAAGACAGAUGUGAAAUCCCCGGGCUUAACCUGGGAACUGCAUUUGUGACUGCACGGCUGGAGUGCGGCAGAGGGGGAUGGAAUUCCGCGUGUAGCAGUGAAAUGCGUAGAUAUGCGGAGGAACACCGAUGGCGAAGGCAAUCCCCUGGGCCUGCACUGACGCUCAUGCACGAAAGCGUGGGGAGCAAAC